UACGUAGGGGGCAAGCGUUGUCCGGAUUUAUUGGGCGUAAAGAGCGUGUAGGCGGCCUGGUAGGUCAGUUGUGAAAACUCGAGGCUCAACCUCGAGACGCCGAUUGAAACCACCAGGCUAGAGUCCGGAAGAGGAGAGUGGAAUUCCCGGUGUAGCGGUGAAAUGCGCAGAUAUCGGGAAGAACACCCGUGGCUAGGGCGGCUCUCUAGUACGGUACUGACGCUGAGACGCGAAAGCGUGGGGAGCGAACAGG
rnacentral:rRNA from 1 species